rnacentral:rRNA from 1 species
UUGUCGUCAGCUCGUGCCGUGAGGUGUUGGGUUAAGUCCCGCAACGAGCGCAACCCUCAUUGUUAGUUACUACCAUUCAGUUGAGGACUCUAAUGAGACUGCCAACGAUAAGUUGGAGGAAGGUGGGGAUGACGUCAAAUCAUCAUGCCCUUUAUGACCUGGGCUACAAACGUACUACAAUGGCCAAUACAAAGAGAUGCGAAGCGGUGACGUGGAGCGAACCUCAGAAAGUUGGUCUCAGUUCAGAUUGAAGUCUGCAACUCGACUUCAUGAAGGCGGAAUCGCUAGUAAUCGCGGGUCAGCAGACCGCGGUGAAUACGUUCCCGGGUUUU